rnacentral:rRNA from 1 species
UACGGAGGGUGCAAGCGUUAUCCGGAUUCACUGGGUUUAAAGGGUGUGUAGGCGGGCAUUUAAGUCAGUGGUGAAAUCUCCAGGCUCAACCUGGAAACUGCCAUUGAUACUAUUUGUCUUGAAUCCUGUUGAGGUGGGCGGAAUAUAUCAUGUAGCGGUGAAAUGCUUAGAUAUGAUAUAGAACACCGAUUGCGAAGGCAGCUCACUAAACAGGCAUUGACGCUGAGGCACGAAAGCGUGGGGAUCAAACAGG